rnacentral:tRNA from 1 species
GGGGGUAUAGCUCAGUAGGUAGAGCACUGCCUUUGCACGGCAGGGGCGUGCGGUUCGAGUCCGCAUACCUCCA